CAGUCGCCGCGGUAAUACGUAGGUGGCGAGCGUUGUCCGGAAUUAUUGGGCGUAAAGGGAGCGCAGGCGGACGAGUAAGUCUUUCUUAAAAGUGCGGGGCUCAACCCCGUGAGGGGAGAAACUACUCAUCUUGAGUGCAGGAGAGGAAAGCGGAAUUCCUAGUGUAGCGGUGAAAUGCGCAGAUAUUAGGAAGAACACCAGUGGCGAAGGCGGCUUUCUGGACUGUAACUGACGCUGAGACUCGAAAGCCAGGGGAGCGAACGGGAUUAGAUACCCCUGUAGUCCCUGUCUCUUAUACACA
rnacentral:rRNA from 1 species